rnacentral:rRNA from 1 species
UCGAACGGUGAAGGGACUUCGGUCCCGGAUCAGUGGCGGACGGGUGAGUAACGCGUGAGCAACCUGCCUAUUAGAGGGGAAUAACGCACCGAAAGGUGCACUAAUACCGCAUAAGACCACGUUUCUGACAUGGGAAUGAGGUCAAAGGAGCAAUCCGGUGGAAGAUGGGCUCGCGUCUGAUUAGCUAGUUGGUGAGGUAACGGCCCACCAAGGCGACGAUCAGUAGCCGACCUGAGAGGGUGAUCGGCCACAUUGGAACUGAGAGACGGUCCAAACUCC